GCCCAUGUAGCUCAGUGGUAGAGCACUCCCUUGGUAAGGGAGAGGCCGCGCGUUCAAUCCGCGCCAUGGGCA
rnacentral:tRNA from 1 species